UACGUAGGGUGCAAGCGUUGUCCGGAAUUAUUGGGCGUAAAGAGCUCGUAGGCGGUUUGUUGCGUCGGCUGUGAAAUCCCGAGGCUCAACCCCGGGCCUGCAUCCGAUACUCCCGGGCUGGAGGCAGGUAGGGGAGAUCGGAAUUCCUGGUGUAGCGGUGAAAUGCGCAGAUAUCAGGAAGAACACCUAUGGCGAAGGCAGCUCUCUGGGACGGUACUGACGCUGAGACGCGAAAGCGUGGGGAGCGAACAGG
rnacentral:rRNA from 1 species